UAAUUGCAUUUCUGUUCUCCUCAUAUUUUUGGCUGUUUUGGCAUCAAAGGAGGAACAUUCACUCCAAAUCAUCAGUUGGAACAGUGGGAUGAUGAAAAUGAGCAAGAACAGCCCUCCUACCCUUGUCUAUGUCUUCAGUGCCAACAUGGACCAUGACCACUGGAUCUACCCCGGCCAAAAGCCUGUGCACAAGAUCCAGAAGGCGAGACACUGCAAGGGACCUUCUCUCACAGCACUGCUAGGACAGUAUGUGUCAGGCUCCUAUAAGCAGGACUGAAGUCCCUUAAAGCAAGGAAGAAGCCCUGCAUUAAUGAGAAACAGGGAAGUACCAGGCUACAGUUUGCAAGAAAUAUGUAAAUAUAUCCACAAACACACACACACACACUCAUGGUCUCUUAAUUUCUGGCUGUAUUUCCACAUUCCAUCUCUGAGUGUCCUGCAUAUGAAUGUGGAGUGCUAACAUGUUAUUAUGUAUUUAUUGCUUAUGGUUAUGAACUGGGGGUGACAUGCUGGUGCAGUGGUUAGAGUGGUGGUGAGAUGAAGACUGCUUAGCCAGCUGAAGGGUGCAGAUCAGCUAACAGAGACUGAAAGACAGGCAUAUCAGAAUGAGUUAUCUAGUAGAAAGUCCCAAGAUGCAUUGCUGUGGGCCUUCACUCACCAUGACGACAGCCAGACCUAUGACAGUGAUGAUACCAAAGGGUACCAGCACCAUUGGUGCACCAUACCCACCAGCCACUGGCUCGGGCGGCUUGCUGGAGUUGAAGCCAGUAUCAUUAGCAGCCACUGUCAUGGUCAUGGGGGUCGUUCUGGAGGUGUUGUUGUGCCGCCUGUCCCCAUACACUGUGGAGCCCCGUAGAAGGACAGUGGUGGGGACAGUGUUGGGUGGCGGAGACUUUGUGGUCGUCACUGGCAUCGUUUCUUCACUGGGGUAAAAAUAGGGUCCUUUGGAAAGAGUCACUUCGCAGUGCGGUGCACUACUGCCCACAGAAACAGGCCCUGUUGAAUCAUGGUGAGCUCAGCCUUCCUGUCCCAAGCACCGAGAGCCCUCUCUGAAAGAAAAGGCAAGCUCAUAGACAUAUUUCUCACACUGCAAGCCAUAUCAAAAAUGUUUCAAUCGUUGUAUCACUACUAUGGAAAUUUCCUCGUUUUAGUAACACACAGGUUCCAGAAUGGAAUUUUAGAGAGAGCUCUCCUUAAUAACGCAGCAAGGACAAAUGCCCAGCAGGUCUGCUGUGACCUCAUGGGGUGCUCAUAAUUAAUGCAUCAUGAAUGCGUUUCUGUUACCAACCACAAGUAAAGAGAUCGGUGGAUGGUUACACCACACAAAACCUGCAUCAAGUCAAAACAAUCAGCCAGUCAUACUACAAGAAUGCUGUUGUUACCUGACUCCGUUUUAACUUAGUGACAAAAAGAAACAGGCCUUGACAUCUCAUAAAUAUUUUACAGAGAAACUGUAUAAUGGAUUUGUCUAUAUCCAAAGACAACCUGAGAAUUUGUAUAAUUAUAUCAUUUAUAAGUAAUUAAGCAUCAACUUCAUAGUUCACAAGAAAAAUAUUUUCUCCUUUAAACGAAACCUUUUACAGCUGCUAAAUGGUAUUAAUGUGCAUAAUGUCAUAAAUUAAUGCCUCACAUGUGUUACUAAAGAAACUGAAUUCUUUGAUAACGAUCCACUGUACAUGGAAAUUUGAUAGUGAGUUCUUAAGGGCAGUUUCUAUGUUUAAGAUCAGUUUAAGUUUAAGAAUAUUAUGGGAAUUUGCUUUUUAAAUAGAAGUAGUCUAACAACAGCAUAACAACAAUUAGCCUUGGAGAGACGUAGGUUAUGAGAAAUAGACUUCGUACACAGGGUAUAAUAACAGAAAAUAAACGAGGAAAGUCACUCUUAAGAAAGGCUUAGGACAUGUUUUGCACUGGAGGAGGAGGAAUGAAACCAUAGUAAGGGGAAGUGACAGAGGGAACACCUGCACCCCUUAAAUUUCUCUGAGGACCCCAUGACAUUAAAUGCUGCAGAUAAAGGGGAGGCCUCUAUCUCUGCUGGGGGGAGGGCAGGCCCACCAAGGCGAGAAGAGGCAGAGGAGCAAGGCCAACAGAAAGAUGGUUACUAUGAAACCGCAGGCUUCCUCUCCAAAUCCCCUUGUCCACAAACCUUACGGUUUAUGGGGGGGGGGGGGGGGGGGGUGUGGCAGGAAGUAGGGAGGAGAUGGCGAUGACUGUUUUUGAGAUCUCUGCCCUCACACACAUCAUUUGUUUCUGCAGACAAUGAAGUAGGUAGUUUGUAAACAUUGUAAAGGAGCUCGGCUGUUACCCCAUGAGAAAGACACCGAAUACAUUAUAUUAAUGUCUAGCUGUUAAAACAAACAAAAACACUAUUUUGAGUCAAGUAAACUGUAGGGUUCGAGAUAGAUAAAUAGAUAGAUAGAUAGAUAGAUAGAUAGAUAGAUAGAUAGAUAGAUAGAUAGAUAGAUAGAUAGAUAGAUAGAUAAAACUUUAUUAAUCCCUCGGGUAGAUUCCUCUGGGAAAUUCGGUUUCCAAGAGCACAGCACCGACAGAAGUUACACAACGUGAGCAAAUGUUAUAUAUAUACAUAUAUAGAUACAAAGACAAAUAAAAUAUACAAAAGGGAUAAAUAGAAUAAAUAGGAAUAAGAAGAAUACAAGGGAAUUGCACAUUUCCAGUAUUGAACCAAAAGUAUUGCACAAAAGUAUUGCACAGUGAAGUGAAGAGGCACUACAGCUUAGUUGUCCCCCCCCUCCUUUGUCCUCCUGUUUCCCCUCCCUCUCCCCUCCAGAGAGGAGUUAAAAAGCUUGAUGGCGUAUGGGACAAAGGAGUUUUUAAGUCUGUUGGUUCUUGUCUUUGGGAGAAGAAACCUGUCACUGAACAGACUCCUCUGGUUGUUUAUGUUAGAUAUGUAAGCAUAUCAGAAAUCCAAUGUAAAAGGAAUUAUUAAACUUUAUAUAAUGAAA